rnacentral:rRNA from 1 species
CGAACGCUGGCGGCGUGGUUAAGGCAUGCAAGUCGAGCGGACAUACCUGGCGGGAAACCAAAGGGUAUGUUAGCGGCGGACGGGUGAGGAAUACAUGGACAACGUACCCUGAACACAGGAAUAGCGGCGUCCCGGGCGCUUCGGCGUCCGAGACUAGCGAAAGCGCCGGUAAUACCUGAUGACCCCAUCGGACCUCCUGGUCUGGUGGGCAAAGCUCAGGCGGUUCUGGAUCGGUCCAUGUCCUAUCAGCUUGUUGGUGGGGUAACGGCCUACCAAGGCGGCGACGGGUACCGGGCGUGAGAGCGUGUCCCGGCACAUCGGAACUGAGACACUGUCCGGACACCUACGGGUGGCUGCAGCAACGAAUAUUCCGCAAUGGACGCAAGUCUGACGGAGCGACGCCGCGUGCAGGAAGAAGUCCCUCGGGAUGUAAACUGCUGUCAGGGGUGAGGAAUACAUGACCAGCCCCAAAGGAAGCACUGGCUAACUCCGUGCCAGCAGCCGCGGUAAUACGGAGAGUGCAAGCGUUGAUCGGAAUUACUGGGCUUAAAGAGCGUGUAGGCGGGUCGGCAUGUGUCGGGUGAAAGCCCUCGGCUCAACCGGGGAAUGGCUCGGCAAACGGCCGGUCUUGAGGCAGGCAGAGGUGACUGGAACGACUGGUGGAGCGGUGAAAUGCGUAGAUAUCAGUUGGAACGCCGGAGGCGAAAGCGGGUCACUGGGCCUGUCCUGACGCUGAGACGCGAAAGCGUGGGGAGCGAAGAGGAUUAGAUACCCUCGUAGUCCACGCCGUAAACGAUGCGCACUAGGUAUGACGGGGUCUGACACCGGUCGUGCCGAAGGAAAACUGAUAAGUGCGCCGCCUGGGGAGUACGGCCGCAAGGCUAAAACUCAAAGGAAUUGACGGGGGCUCACACAAGCGGUGGAGCAUGUGGAUUAAUUCGAAGCAACGCGCAGAACCUUACCUGGGUUUGACAUGCACGGAUGCCCUCUUGGAAACAGGAGUAAGCUGCCUUCGGGUGAAACGUGCACAGGUGCUGCAUGGCUGUCGUCAGCUCGUGCUGUGAAGUGUCGGGUUAAGUCCCUUAACGAGCGAAACCCCUAUCGUUAGUUGCCAGCGGGUUAUGCCGGGGACUCUAGCGAGACCGCCGGCGUCAAGCCGGAGGAAGGUGGGGACGACGUCAAGUCAUCAUGGCCUUUAUGCCCAGGGUGUCGCACGUGCUACAAUGGCCGCUACAGAGCGACGCGAGACCGUGAGGUGGAGCAAAUCGCACAAAAGCGGCCUUAGUUCGGAUUGGAGUCUGCAACCCGACUCCAUGAAGUUGGAAUCGCUAGUAAUCGCGUAUCAGCCACGACGCGGUGAAUGUGUUCCUGAGCCUUGUACACACCGCCCGUCAAGUCAUGGAAGCUGGCAGUACCCGAAGUCCGCUUAGCUAACCCUCGCGGGAGGCGGCGGCCGACGGUAAGGCCGGUGACUGGG